UUUAAUUGAAGAGUUUGAUCAUGGCUCAGAUUGAACGCUGGCGGCAGGCUUAACACAUGCAAGUCGAGCGGUAGCACGGGGGAGCUUGCUCCCUGGGUGACGAGCGGCGGACGGGUGAGUAAUGUCUGGGAAACUGCCUGAUGGAGGGGGAUAACUACUGGAAACGGUAGCUAAUACCGCAUAACGUCGCAAGACCAAAGAGGGGG
rnacentral:rRNA from 1 species